CGGACACUUAGCCAGCUAAGCCAUCCACGUGCCCCUCAAAGUUUGCUUUCUUGAUAAACAUGGUACCAUAAAAAAUGUGAAUGAGGAAGCAUGUAGGACUGAGUACUGCUGGCAACAUUUUGUGAUUGUGAGGGGAAUGAACCUGAUGACAGAUCUAACAGAUGGAGGAGGACAGAGAGGAUGGAACUACAGAAAAAUUGAUCCAGAGCACUGAUCUAUCCAUGCCUGAAGACUACACUACCACUGCACUUUCAGGUUACAUGAGCAAUAAAUCUUCCAUUUGUUAAA